GGUCGCAGGUUCGAAUCCUGCACGACCCACCAAUUUAACAUCAAACUCAGAUGUUGAACGUGAAGGAUAACGUUGCGUCAGCAACGGCCCGUAGGGCGAGGCGAAGCCGAGUCAUCCUGCACGACCCACCA
rnacentral:sRNA from 2 species